rnacentral:rRNA from 1 species
UGAGGAAUAUUGCUCAAUGGGCGAAAGCCUGAAGCAGCAACGCCGCGUGCGCGAUGAAGGUCUUCGGAUCGUAAAGCGCUUUUGAGAGGGACGAGAUAGGACGGUACCUCUUGAAUAAGUCACGGCUAACUACGAGCCAGCAGCCGCGGUAAAACGUAGGUGGCAAGCGUUAUCCGGAUUCACUGGGCGUAAAGCGCGUGCGGGUGGCUUCGUAAGUUGGACGUUAAAUCUUUCGGCCUAACCGGGAGGUGUCGUUCAAUACUGCGGGGCUUGAGGGUAGAAGAGGGGGGUGGAAUUGCCGGUGUAGUGGUGAAAUGCGUAGAUAUCGGCAGGAACACCUGUGGCGAAAGCGGCCCCCUGGUCUGCUCCUGACACUCAGACGCGAAAGCUAGGGGAGUGAACG